GGGUUGUGAGGUUAAGCGACUAAGCGUACACGGUGGAUGCCCUGGCAGUCAGAGGCGAUGAAGGACGUGCUAAUCUGCGAUAAGCGUCGGUGAGGUGAUAUGAACCGUUAUAACCGGCGAUUUCCGAAUGGGGAAACCCAGUGUGUUUCGACACACUAUCAUUAACUGAAUCCAUAGGUUAAUGAGGCGAACCGGGGGAACUGAAACAUCUAAGUACCCCGAGGAAAAGAAAUCAACCGAGAUUCCCCCAGUAGCGGCGAGCGAACGGGGAGGAGCCCAGAGCCUGAAUCAGUGUGUGUGUUAGUGGAAGCGUCUGGAAAGGCGCGCGAUACAGGGUGACAGCCCCGUACACAAAAAUGCACAUAUUGUGAGCUCGAUGAGUAGGGCGGGACACGUGGUAUCCUGUCUGAAUAUGGGGGGACCAUCCUCCAAGGCUAAAUACUCCUGACUGACCGAUAGUGAACCAGUACCGUGAGGGAAAGGCGAAAAGAACCCCGGCGAGGGGAGUGAAAAAGAACCUGAAACCGUGUACGUACAAGCAGUGGGAGCCUCUUAAUGGGGUGACUGCGUACCUUUUGUAUAAUGGGUCAGCGACUUAUAUUCUGUAGCAAGGUUAACCGAAUAGGGGAGCCGAAGGGAAACCGAGUCUUAACUGGGCGUUAAGUUGCAGGGUAUAGACCCGAAACCCGGUGAUCUAGCCAUGGGCAGGUUGAAGGUUGGGUAACACUAACUGGAGGACCGAACCGACUAAUGUUGAAAAAUUAGCGGAUGACUUGUGGCUGGGGGUGAAAGGCCAAUCAAACCGGGAGAUAGCUGGUUCUCCCCGAAAGCUAUUUAGGUAGCGCCUCGUGAAUUCAUCUCCGGGGGUAGAGCACUGUUUCGGCAAGGGGGUCAUCCCGACUUACCAACCCGAUGCAAACUGCGAAUACCGGAGAAUGUUAUCACGGGAGACACACGGCGGGUGCUAACGUCCGUCGUGAAGAGGGAAACAACCCAGACCGCCAGCUAAGGUC
rnacentral:rRNA from 1 species